AACGAACGCUGGCGGCAGGCUUAACACAUGCAAGUCGAGCGCCCCGCAAGGGGAGCGGCAGACGGGUGAGUAACGCGUGGGAAUCUACCCAUCUCUACGGAAUAACGCAUGGAAACGUGUGCUAAUACCGUAUACGUCCUUCGGGAGAAAGAUUUAUCGGAGAUGGAUGAGCCCGCGUUGGAUUAGCUAGUUGGUGGGGUAAAGGCCUACCAAGGCGACGAUCCAUAGCGGGUCUGAGAGGAGGAUCAGCCACACUGGGACUGCGACACGGCCCAGACUCCUACGGGAGGCAGCAGUGGGGGAUAUUGGACAAUGGGCGCAAGCUUGAUCCAGCCAUGCCGCGUGAGUGAUGAAGGCCCUAGGGUUGUAAAGCUCUUUCACCGGUGAAGGUAAUGACGGUAACCGGAGAAGAAGCCCCGGCUAACUUCGUGCCAGCCGCCGCCGUAACAC
rnacentral:rRNA from 1 species